UCAAACCCGUAUCUCUGGUAUAUGAGCAACUAAUCCGACCCAACCAGCACACGGAAAUAUCGACUGGUGCUGUAGAUAAGUCUUUGAUGAUUUAACCGAUUGAAAGCAUAAGCGUAUUUGUUUUUUAGGUAGAGAAAAGCAUAAGCGUAUAUUGUUUAGCAAAAAAAAAAAAAAAAAAAAAAAAGUAUAAAGAGCGUAAUUUAUAUUUUGUAUACCGCUUCCGGUGUCCCGCGUCCCUAUACCAAUACUUCCCGAGGCUGUCGUUUCGGGUUUCGUUGACUCCGUUCAAAAGAUUGAAGCUUUUGUAGCCUGGGCGCAAAAAGACGCAGUUCUACGAACAAUUUCCUGUCCGCCGACACCUCCACCGGGGAAAGAAAAAAUGGUUGGUAGAAGAUGAAGAAAAAAGUUUGUAAUAAAAGGGCUAUGAAGGAAAUAAUUGUGGUGAUAUAUCAGUGGAAGGCUCCAUUCAACACUGUGGAGAUUCAAGGGACACUCUGAUUUUAAAAGAAUGAAUAACAGAGUUCAGGGACACCUCUGAUUAAAAAAUAAAUAAAUAAUAGUACAUAUGGAAUCAAAGUGACAAAUGGUCAAGUUGUUUCACAUGAGAGAGAUUUCAUAUAGUGAAUCAGCUGUUGAUGUCCAGCUGUAGCUUUUAGCUUGCUUGUUAGUACCUUAGUAUUGUACUAUGUAGCUCAUUGGUUACUUUCUUUCAUGGUGCAUAUGGUAUAUAAUGGUGUCCCUUGGUUGUACAGAUUAGAAUUGUAUUCCUUAAGCCUGUUUAAAUUUUAGGUUUCAAAGCUCUCUGAGACUCUCAUUAUGUAAGAUGCUUUAAUUUAUCUAGAAGUAAAAUGGUUAAUGGGAAUAGGAGCACUUGAGUGUCCUUAGUUUGUAGACAUUGAAAUUUUGGAGGCAAGCUUCCUUCCCUUGGUGAUUAGUCUAUCAAUAUCUUAUGCAAGUCUCAAUUUUAUAGAUGU